UACGGAGGGUGCAAGCGUUAAUCGGAAUUACUGGGCGUAAAGCGUGCGCAGGCGGUUUGUUAAGUCCGUUGUGAAAGCCCCGAGCUCAACUUGGGAAUUGCAGUGGAUACUGGCAGGCUGGAGUACGGUAGAGGAAGGUGGAAUUCCGAGUGUAGAGGUGAAAUUCGUAGAUAUUCGGAAGAACACCAGUGGCGAAGGCGACUUACUGGACACAUAUUGACGCUGAGGUGCGAAAGCGUGGGGAGCAAACAGG
rnacentral:rRNA from 1 species